AAUACUAAGUGUUGAACAAAAAAAAUCUGAUCCUGCUUCCUACCAACACAUUUCAAUAUGAUUUACACUUUCCCUAUCCCUUGGCCCCAAAGUUCUGUACCUAAAUUCUCUUUCAUCCACUGAUACUCAGCUCCUCAGACAAGAUGCUCUAUCUCCCAAAUCCAAGCAUUUUCCCUGGCUGUACCCAAUGCCUGGAAUGCUCUGAUUCUUCACCUCUGACUAAAGAUUCCUGGCUUCCUCCAACUCCAAGUUAAAAAGACAUUUUCUAGAAGAAAGCUUUCUUAAUUUGCCCUUUUCUUACCUUUCCUUUCUUGAUUACUUCACGUAUUAUCCUGUAUAUAGCUUGUUUAUACAUAAUUGUAAGCAUGUGAUCUCCUUUAAUAGACUGCGAGUUUCUUGAGAACAGAGAUUGUCUUGGAAAAUCCUUCCUGGUCCAAGCACAUAGUCAAGUUCCUUGGCCAAUGGGGGCAUUUCAUAAAUAUUUGCUGACUUACUGACCAACCUGUCCUUUCUUUAGUUACAGAAAAUCACAAUGAAUACAUUUACAGAUGUUGAAGAUAAAAUCACAGAAGACAAAACUGAGUGCAGGAUUUUAGGACAAUUUUUCCACUGAGAAUUCCAUCGAUUUCAUUUCCAAAAUCUUGAAGGUCUGUGAAAAAAUCGUGUACACAGGAUGGAAAAAGAUUUAAACAUCUCCCUGAAUAAGGAGAAUGGUGA